rnacentral:rRNA from 1 species
AUUGAACGCUGGCGGCAGGCCUAACACAUGCAAGUCGAACGGUAACAGGAAGCAGCUUGCUGCUUUGCUGACGAGUGGCGGACGGGUGAGUAAUGUCUGGGAAACUGCCUGAUGGAGGGGGAUAACUACUGGAAACGGUAGCAAAUACCGCAUAACGUCGCAAGACCAAAGAGGGGGACCUUAGGGCCUCUUGCCAUCGGAUGUGCCCAGAUGGGAUUAGCUAGUAGGUGGGGUAACGGCUCACCUAGGCGACGAUCCCUAGCUGGUCUGAGAGGAUGACCAGCCACACUGGAACUGAGACACGGUCCAGACUCCUACGGGAGGCAGCAGUGGGGAAUAUUGCACAAUGGGCGCAAGCCUGAUGCAGCCAUGCCGCGUGUAUGAAGAAGGCCUUCGGGUUGUAAAGUACUUUCAGCGGGGAGGAAGGGAGUAAAGUUAAUACCUUUGCUCAUUGACGUUACCCGCAGAAGAAGCACCGGCUAACUCCGUG